ACGAACGCUGGCGGCGUGCUUCACACAUGCAAGUCGAACGGAAAGGCCCUACUUUUGUGGGGUGCUCGAGUGGCGAACGGGUGAGUAACACGUGAGUAACCUGCCCUUGACUUUGGGAUAACUUCAGGAAACUGGGGCUAAUACCGGAUAGGAGCUCCUGCUGCAUGGUGGGGGUUGGAAAGUUUCGGCGGUUGGGGAUGGACUCGCGGCUUAUCAGCUUGUUGGUGGGGUAGUGGCUUACCAAGGCUUUGACGGGUAGCCGGCCUGAGAGGGUGACCGGCCACAUUGGGACUGAGAUACGGCCCAGACUCCUACGGGAGGCAGCAGUGGGGAAUAUUGCACAAUGGGCGGAAGCCUGAUGCAGCAACGCCGCGUGCGGGAUGACGGCCUUCGGGUUGUAAACCGCUUUCGCCUGUGACGAAGCGUGAGUGACGGUAAUGGGUAAAGAAGCACCGGCUAACUACGUG
rnacentral:rRNA from 1 species